GCCCCUAUAGCUCAGUUGGUUAGAGCAGCGGACUCUUAAUCCGCGUGUCGUAGGUUCGAAUCCUACUGGGGGCACCC
rnacentral:tRNA from 1 species